UAGGGAAUCUUCGGCAAUGGACGAAAGUCUGACCGAGCAACGCCGCGUGAGUGAAGAAGGUUUUCGGAUCGUAAAACACUGUUGUAAGAGAAGAAUGACAUUGAGAGUAACUGUUCAAUGUGUGACGGUAUCUUACCAGAAAGCCACGGCUAACUACGUGCCAGCAGCCGCGGUAAUACGUAGGUGGCAAGCGUUAUCCGGAAUUAUUGGGCGUAAAGCGCGCGUAGGCGGUUUUUUAAGUCUGAUGUGAAAGCCCACGGCUCAACCGUGGAGGGUCAUUGGAAACUGGAAAACUUGAGUGCAGAAGAGGAAAGUGGAAUUCCAUGUGUAGCGGUGAAAUGCGCAGAGAUAUGGAGGAACACCAGUGGCGAAGGCGACUUUCUGGUCUGUAACUGACGCUGAUGUGCGAAAGCGUGGGGAUCAAACAGG
rnacentral:rRNA from 1 species